rnacentral:rRNA from 1 species
AUUGAACGCUGGCGGCAGGCCUAACACAUGCAAGUCGAACGAGUGGCGGACGGGUGAGUAAUGUCUGGGAAACUGCCCGAUGGAGGGGUAUAACUACUGGAAACGGUAGCUAAUACCGCAUACCAUCGGAUGUGCCCAGAUGGGAUUAGCUAGUAGUUGGGGUAACGUCUCACCUAGGCGACGAUCCCUAGCUGGUCUGAGAGGAUGACCAGCCAAACUGUGACUGGGACACGGUCCAGACUCGUACGUGAGGCAGCAGUGGGGAAUAUUGCACAAUGGGCGCAAGCCUGAUGCAGCCAUGACGCGUGUAUGAAGAAGGCCUUCGGGUUGUAAAGUACUUUCAGCGAGGAGGCAUUACUCGCAGAGGAAGCACCGGCUAACUCCGUGCCAGCAGCCGCGGUAAUUC